rnacentral:rRNA from 1 species
UGCCGUCAGCAGUCAAGAAUAUUAGUCAAUGCUCGAAAGAGUGAACUAGCUAACUGAAAUCAAUUAUAAUAAUUGAUAACAUAAGGGAAAAUAAUGAUAUUACCUUAUUAUUAGUGUCGUCCAAAUCUGGUGCCAGAAGACUCGGUAAGGCCAGAGACACAAACGUUAAUCGUCUUAAUCAGGCGUAAAGGGUUUGUAGGCAGCUUUAAAAUUUAAUAAUUAAAUUAAAUAAAUUAAAAAUUAUUAAUUAAUAAUUAAAGAAUAAAAGCUAGAAUCAAAAAGAGGAUAUAUUAAAGAAUGCUUAGAGUAGGUCUGAUAUCCUUAGAUACUAAGUAGAAUAUUAAAGGCGAAAGCUUUUUUCCAUUAAUGAUUGACGCUCAGAAACGAAGGUGAGGAUAGGAAAUAGGAUUAGAUACCCAAAAUACCCCUCUCUGUCAACGAUGAAUGGUAAUUAUUAGUACAAAUUUUAUUAAUGAUAAUGUUAACACGAUAACCAUUCCGCCUUGUGAGUACAACUGCAAAGUUGAAAACAAAAAAAUUAGUCGGUUUCGGAGCAAACGAAGUGAAGCAUGUUAUUUAAUUCAAUAAUCCGCAAAGAUGAUA